rnacentral:rRNA from 1 species
UACGAAGGGGGCUAGCGUUGCUCGGAAUCACUGGGCGUAAAGCGCACGUAGGCGGAUUGUUAAGUCAGAGGUGAAAGCCCAGGGCUCAACCUUGGAACUGCCUUUGAUACUGGCUAUCUUGAGUAUGGGAGAGGUGAGUGGAACUCCGAGUGUAGAGGUGAAAUUCGUAGAUAUUCGGAAGAACACCAGUGGCGAAGGCGACUCACUGGCCCAUUACUGACGCUGAGGCUCGAAAGCGUGGGGAGCAAACAGG